GGGGAGAAUAAUACUAGAGUUAGUAGGAGCAAGAUCAGGAGGAGGAGUCCUAGGAUGUCUUUAAUUGUAUAAUAUGGGUGGAAUGGGAUUUUGUCCAUAUCGGAUGGGAUUCCUGAGGGGUUGUUAGAUCCUGUUUCGUGAAGAAAUAGUAAAUGUACGACUACCAGGGCUGUGAUGAUGAAGGGUAGGAUGAAGUGGAAAGCAAAAAAUCGGGUAAGGGUGGCUUUGUCUACUGAGAAUCCACCUCAGAUUCACUCGACGAGGGUAGUACCGAUGUAGGGAAUUGCUGAUAGGAGGUUCGUGAUGACUGUUGCUCCUCAAAAGGAUAUUUGGCCUCAUGGCAGAUAAAAAAUAUUGAUGCUCCGUUGGCAUGGAGGUAGCGAAUAAUUCAUCCGUAGUUAACGUCUCGGCAGAUGUGAGUGACGGAUGAGAAGGCAGUUGUCGUGUCUGAUGUGUAGUGUAUGGCUAGGAAUAGGCCUGUUAAGAUUUGGAGGAUUAGGCAGAUUCCUAGGAGGGAGCCGAAGUUUCAUCA
rnacentral:lncRNA from 1 species